rnacentral:snRNA from 1 species
GUGAUCACUUGUGCAUUUCAUGUGCUAAAGCUGGAAUGAUAAGAGAGAAGAUUAGCAUUGGCCUUGUGCAAGGGUGAGCAAAUUCGUGAAAUACUCCAUUUAUUC